AUUGAACGCUGGCGGCAGGCUUAACACAUGCAAGUCGAGCGAGCGGCGGACGGGAGAGUAAUGACUGUGAAACUGCCUGGUGGAGGGGGAUAACUACUGGAAACUGUAGCUACUACCGCAUUGCAUCAGAUGUGCCCAGAUGGGAUUAGCUAGUGGGUGGGGCAAUGUCUCACCAAGGCGACGAUCCCUAGCUGGUCUGAGAGGAUGACCAGCCACACUGGAACUGAGACACGGUCCAGACUCCUACGGGAGGCAGCAGUGGGGAAUAUUGGACAAUGGGCGCAAGCCUGAUGCAGCCAUGCCGCGUGUGUGAAGAAGGCCUUCGGGUUGUAAAGCACUUUCAGCGGGGAGGCGUUACUCGCAGAAGAAGCACCGGCUAACUCCGUGCCAGCAGCCGCGGUAAUUC
rnacentral:rRNA from 1 species